rnacentral:misc_RNA from 1 species
CAGAAGUUCGUACUUCCUGUGGGCGAUAUGUCGAAGAAGGACUGAACGUCCUCCGCAAGGUCUCGCCGACGUUGCUCGCCUCUCGCUCCCUCAUCCUCACUUUUCCGG